UUGCAUAUAUGAUCUCCCCAAAUGCCUUGAGAUUACACUUGUCUAAAUUCUAACGCUUCAACAUGCCCGAAUCAGGCGAAAUCAAGUCACAGGCAGCUAAAUCUGACCCUCAAACUACCUCUCCGCCACCGUCGCAGCAACCUCAAACGGCUGCUUUGCCACUAAAGCGUCCCCAACAACUGGAAUCGUCCCCAAACCCAACAACUCCUUCAGUCACCGAUCCCAAAGACGUCACUCCCACCACUAUCUCCUCCCGUAUUACUGAACCUGAUUUCAUCUAUAUUCCCAGUUAUUCCCGUUGGUUUUCAUGGAAUAGCAUUCAUGAAUGUGAGGUUCGCUUUCUUCCUGAAUUCUUUGAUGGAAGGUCGCCUUCCAAGAACCCUAAGACAUACAAAUACUAUAGGAAUACUAUUAUUCGUAGAUUCAGAGAUAACCCCACUAAAAAGAUAACCUUUACUGAGGCUCGCAAGACCAUUGUUGGAGACGUCGGCUCAAUUCGUAGGGUUUUCGAUUUCUCAGAGACAUGGGGUUUGAUCAAUUACACUGCUAACUCUUCCAAGUCUCUGAUCAAGUGGGAAGAAAAAGAGUCAAAGUCAACAUCUGCCUCAGCUCCGCAAAAUGCUGACGCCAAUGGAACGUCCACUGAUUUUACUCUCCCCAAGAAAAGAAUCUGCAAUCUCUGCAAAACAGUUUGCAGGAUUGCUUGUUUCGCUUCUGAUAAGUAUGAUUUGACUCUUUGUGCAAGAUGCUAUGUUAGUAAUGAUAAUAGAG
rnacentral:misc_RNA from 1 species